GUGGCAUGUGGGAUCCUCCCGGACCAGGGCUCGAACCUAUGUCCCCUGCAUUGGCAGGCGGACUACCUAAACACUGUGCCACCAGGGAAGCCCUUCACAGUGAUUUUUAAUUAUACUAAGGUCACCUUUAUACCUACUGUCUCUUCCUCCAAAAAUGCUAAUACAGAGUGAAAUAAUAGAAUCUUUAGAGUUGGAAACAGCCCAAAGAUAUAAUCAAUCUUCUACCCAUUGCAGAACUCCCUUAACACUUCUAACAGGUUGUCAUUCAGCUUCUGUGUAGGCAUGUUUCCAGACAACUCAUUCCACUUUGGGAUUGCACUGAUGUUAAAAAAUCCCUCCUUCUCAGUAGUCUUAGUUCUGCUCUAAUCCCUCCUUCCACAGCCUUUCGGUCUUCUGAAGAAAACUCCCAAGUCCUUCACAUUCUUUUUAAUACUAUCACUUGACUUCUAGACCCCCUUCUCAUCUUUGUCUAGAGUAUGGUGUUAGAACCAGUCAUCGUACACGAAAUGCUGUUCUACAAGAUUAGGGGGAGACAAUAAAGACUCCUCCAGCUUGAUGGGUUCAGAGAGUGACCUUUCUGGACUCUGCCAGUAGUCAACACAGCUUUUUCCAGUAGCUGCCAUCUUUCAUUCUGGGCACAUUUUUUCCUGAGAUUCCAGGAAGGUUUGUGACAUUCACACUUUUUUAGUAUCUUAUAAAUUUUCCACAUGUACCUGAAAAGCUCCCUUGUGGUAACAAAUUUUCCAUUCCCUAAAAAUAUUUCCCAAGAACAGCUUAGGUUGGGUCAAAAGCAGACUGUUACCUUCUCCUUUCAUCUGCAAAUCAGACUUCUGGGCAAGAUGUUGUUUGUGGUGUACAGAUCUAAUGGAUGCAAAACUCUCUUCGACAGGUAUCUCUGGUACUGUGAGGUAACCGCUUCUAAAGUGCACAGUAAAACAACCCACCCCCACCCAGGCUGGCACCAGCCUGCAACCAAACAUGAACAAAUUCUGCUGCUAAUCAGAUUUUUCCUUUUGACCUGGUUCCUGAGGUCUUUAAAGCUGUGCAAUGAAAUUAUUUAUUGUUUUAUAACAGAAUAGUGGUGUCCCACAGAGGAACCAUAAAUGAAAUACGGUGCUGUGAUGAGGAAAUAAUAACUAGCAUUUUAAGAUUUGGUUUUCUUUUCAGAAAGUCUAAUAUACCUAUAAUAAAGGUUAAAGCAAUUUGUGUUUAUUUUGCAUUCUAGUGUUAUUAAUUUUAAAACAGCAAUUCUAACAAAAAUGCAUCAAUUGACUAUUUCUAAUUCUUAUCUUUAUCAAAAAACUGUAUAAAUUUACAACCAGCAUUUUUUUUUAAUUAUAUAAAUCUUCUCUUUAGAAAGGACUGCUAACAAGUGAAAAUGAAUGAGACAGCACCUUAGCAAUUUUUAAGUAAUAAAGAGUUCUUUUCAAUCAAA